rnacentral:rRNA from 1 species
UACGGAGGGUGCGAGCGUUGUCCGGAAUCACUGGGCGUAAAGGGCGCGUAGGCGGCAAUUCAAGUCAGCUGUGAAAUCUCCGGGCUUAACUCGGAACGGUCAGCUGAUACUGUUUUGCUAGAGUGCAGAAGGGGCAAUCGGAAUUCUCGGUGUAGCGGUGAAAUGCGUAGAUAUCGAGAGGAACACCUGAGGUGAAGACGGGUUGCUGGGCUGACACUGACGCUGAUGCGCGAAAGCCAGGGUAGCAAACGGG